rnacentral:rRNA from 1 species
CACGUAGGGUGCGAGCGUUGUCCGGAAUCAUUGGGCGUAAAGAGCGUGUAGGCGGCCCGGUAAGUCCGCUGUAAAAGUCAAAGGCUCAACCUUUGAAUGUCAGUGGAUACUGCCGGGCUAGAGUCCGGAAGAGGCGAGUGGAACUCCUGGUGUAGCGGUGGAAUGCGCAGAUAUCAGGAAGAACACCAACGGCGAAGGCAGCCUCGCUGGGACGGUACUGACGCUGAGACGCGAAAGCGUGGGGAGCGAACAGG